AUUAACACUGGGUCCACAAUUAUCAUGUUGAAAUAUAUUUUAUAUUGUUACAUUUCUACACAUUCUAUGUAGGGCAAUUUUGUCUUGCUUCUGACAACCAUGAACUAACUGUACAUGAUAAUUGUACUAUUUUAUAUAAUUAGGCCAGCCAGACAUUAAUAAUUAUUAAUUACAACUAAUUGAUCAAAAAAAUAUUAUAUGAAGUUAAAUGCAUUUCAUUGUGAUAUUAACACACAAAGUCUACCUUUAUAGUACUUAAAAGAUUACAACAAGAUUUAAUCUAUUUCCAUC